rnacentral:misc_RNA from 1 species
GAUGAAGAACGUAGCGAAAUGCGAUAAGUAAUGUGAAUUGCAGAAUUCAGUGAAUCAUCGAAUCUUUGAACGCACAUUGCGCCCGCCAGUAUUCUGGCGGGCAUGCCUGUUCGAGCGUCAUUUCAACCAUCAAGCCCCAGGCUUGUGUUGGAGCCAUGCGGCUGCCGCAGCCUCCCAAAACCAGUGGCGGGCUCGCUAUCACACCGAGUGCAGUAGUUUACUCUUCGCUCAGGGCGUGUGGCGGGUGCUAGCCGUGAAACCCCCAACUUCUCAAGGUUGACCUCGGAUCAGGUAGGAAUACCCGCUGAACUUAAGCAUAUCAAUAAGCGGAGGA